rnacentral:RNase_P_RNA from 1 species
GUUAGAUUGCGAGCUAAUCGCUAGAACCUUCAAGUUUUAGAGGAAAGUCCGGGCAGCAUAGGGAAUGACAGCCGCUAACGGCGGCCGAGGGCGACCUUAGGGAAAGUGCCACAGAAACAAAACUGCGCCGCGCUCUGCGCGACGUAACGGUGAAACGAGUGAGGUAAGAGCUCACAACAUCUGGCGGUGACGUCAGAAGUAGGUAAACCCUGUCUGCUGCAAGGAGCGAGUUAUACACGUCCCCGCGAUACUCGCGCUAGACCCCGCUUGACCUGCUGAGCAAUUGGCGGGCUAGAUAGAUGAUUGGCCACGACAGAACCCGGCUUACUGUAAUCUGGCAAAU